GAGAGAAGACAUAAGUGGAGAGAGUUGGUAGACCACCGGAGGGAGUGGACUUGGAGCAAGGGUCCGAGGGUCAAUGACGCUCAGAGGAAGUCGAUGGGGAAUGAAUGAACGGAACCAUACACCAGUGCAUGGAGAAUUGCACCAGGCCAAUUUUUCUAUGAGAUGCAGCUGAAAAUCUUUGUAUUGCGUUCAGACAUAUUUUGAAAGUGUUCUGUGGUCUCCCUUAAAUAAAAUGCAGUAACCAGAGAAACUACUGUCUAAAAGAACAGGGUCCUUUUGAAGACUCUGACCUGGAGUUAAACGCUGACUUCGCUUCUUUGCAGAAAUGGGACCUGCUCUUGGGGUUUCUCGACUGGCUGCUAUUCGAUAUGCCAAGGAUAAGACCUAGAAGACUAGCGAGCCUUCAGGGUUCCAGGAUUUCGUGGCUCUGGAGGCAGCAGACUUGAUGUCGGUGCCACUGCAGAAAGCUGGUGUGUCAUGGGAGAUGGAAGAUCGAAAGCAGCGAGUUGGCUGCUGGCUGUGUGCCCAGAGACCCAAGUUAUUUGGGCACAGAUCUCGGAAGAAACGACACAACAGACUUUUAACACCAUAUAUCAGCCAGUUGUUUGUUAUACCUCCCCUCUUGCUGUGAAAUGGGGACACUCCUUUUUUUCUUAUUAGGGAGAGAGAGAAUCUGUGGUAUGUCGAAUUACUGGGUGAAUGAGUAGUCUUUGGUGUACUGCAAGCCUGUGUCUUUAUUGAUGCUUUGCUGCACGCCUGAGUGAACGGUGGGGGUGCCAAUGCUAUUUUGCUGGUGGGGUACAGGGGGUUUUUGCUUUGC